CCAAUAGCGUAUAUUAAAGUUGUUGCAGUUAAAAAGCUCGUAGUUGAAUUUCGGGGUCAGCAGGUUGGUCGUGCCAUUGGUAUGCACUGGCUUCGCUGAUUCCUCCUUUCUGAAGAACUGUAAUGCCAUUAAUUUGGUGUUGCAGGGAAACAGGACUGUUACUUUGAAAAAAUUAGAGUGUUUAAAGCAAGCUAACGCUUGAAUACAUCAGCAUGGAAUAAUGAAAUAGGACGUUUGAUCCUAUUUUGUUGGUUUCUAGGAUUGACGUAAUGAUUAAUAGGGAUAGUUGGGGGCAUUAGUAUUCAAUUGUCAGAGGUGAAAUUCUUGGAUUUAUUGAGGACUAACUGCUGCGAAAGCAUUUGCCAAGGAUGUUUUCAUUAAUCAAGAACGAAAGUUAGGGGAUCGAAGACGAUCAGAUACCGUCGUAGUCUUAACCAUAGACUAUGCCGACUAGGGAUCGGAUGAUGUUAAUUUUUUAAUGACUCA
rnacentral:rRNA from 1 species